AUGAAGGAAUGGGACAUCAGGAGUCCAGCAAUGACCGGUUAUUGCAAUGCAGUAAGAAAGCUAGAGAAGAAGUUUGAGGGGUUAGAGCUCCACCACAUACCUCGAAUCAAGAAUCAAGCUGCUGAUGAUCUGGCGAAGAUAGGUUCCACUCAAAAGCCUAUUACCAGUAAUGUGUUCUUCGAGCAUCUCCACACCCCGUCAGUACAAGAAGAUCCCUUCAAGUAA
rnacentral:rRNA from 1 species